GACGAACGCUGGCGGCGUGCUUAACACAUGCAAGUCGAACGGAAAGGCCCUGCUUUUGUGGGGUGCUCGAGUGGCGAACGGGUGAGUAACACGUGAGUAACCUGCCCUUGACUUUGGGAUAACUUCAGGAAACUGGGGCUAAUACCGGAUAGGAGCUCCUGCUGCAUUGUGGGGGUUGGAAAGUUUCGGCGGUUGGGGAUGGACUCGCGGCUUAUCAGCUUGUUGGUGGGGUAGUGGCUUACCAAGGCUUUGACGGGUAGCCGGCCUGAGAGGGUGACCGGCCACAUUGGGACUGAGAUACGGCCCAGACUCCUACGGGAGGCAGCAGUGGGGAAUAUUGCACAAUGGGCGGAAGCCUGAUACAGCAACGCCGCGUGCGGGAUGACGGCCUUCGGGUUGUAAACCGCUUUCGCCUGUGACGAAGCGUGAGUGACGGUAAUGGGUAAAGAAGCACCGGCUAACUACGUG
rnacentral:rRNA from 1 species